AGUCUCCAUGCUUUCUCCAACAGAGCAGCAUGAAACACAUCUGCGGAUUAUGUAACAGCCUUGCUUUCUUCUCCUUCAUGACUCUUCUACUCCCAGGUACCUCUACUCUGGCUUGCUUUUGCUUUGAAGAAGCAGAGACUUCCAUGAACUAAUCUCUGCCACAGCCCCUUUUGCUUUGUUUCUCUCAAUUUAUAGAGAAACCUCUCCUGUUAGAAACUCCUAUGGGAGUCGCUGGAAUUUGUCAGUUUCUUCAAAACAAGAUGUCUCAAGAAGAGAUUGGAGUCUGCCUGAAAACAAGCUUUUGGCAAUGAAUUGAGGUGGGGGCAUAGUUCAAGUGCUGUCUUUUUACAAAAUUUUUCAGUUAUGGUAUUAGCACACAUUGUACACACUUUAAUUACCUAGAAAAGUAUAUAUACGCACCACAUUCAUCCCAAGUGUGACCCAUAUCACACUAACUUUGAAUCUAAGUCACGUACCUCACUUUCGGAGUAAUUUUCGGGGAAAUAAUUCCGGGUAGCUAGUAUUUUCGAUGUAUAAAUGUGUGUUGUAACUUUUCUGAAAACUUUUUGAAUCCGGAGUUCUAGGUUUGGUGUCUUCUGAACCUAAUGUUCUUCCAGGAUUUAGUAACUUAUUACCAAAAAGACAAGGGCGGCAUUUCUCUAAUCAAUUAUGUGGUUUCUCAUAAGAGUUCAUACCUGAUAAUGGUCCACCCUGUUUCAGUCAAUAUACCUUAAAUAGUUCCCACCAUCUUUUUUUCUCUGUGUCUCUCUCUCUGAAAUCUGACCAAAAGGCUGAGGGAGGCGGACUCCCAAUUCCACUCCUUAAAGCAUCACCAACCCAAUGCUCUAUUUUAGAGUAUCAAAAUAAUAUAUUUUAUUCAAAAAGUGGUUAUAGUGCAUGUUUUUAUUCAUCCAAAUUCCAACCACAAAACUCUAUUUCUAUCUCUAUAUUUCAAAAAACUAACUUGAAGCUCAAUACUUCUACACUUUCCCUUCAAAAUUUAAAUUGUUAAUUUUUAAAAUUUUAUUAAAUAUAUUUAAUUUUAGUCUCAUUUUAAAGGGUAAUGUGAAUAUCUUUUAAACAGUAUAAAUUUUAUAAAAAUAAAUUGCCAAUAAAAGUUACAUGUAUUUGAAAAUCAAAAUUGCCAUCCUUUCAAAUAGAGUAUUACCCUCACAUAUUUUUUUUCAUACUCUAUAUUUAGAAGAUCAACUUCACAUCCUCUAAAAUAGAGUUGCUUUUAAAUGAUGGGUUGGAGCACGCACAUGCUCUAAAAUGAAGAUUUAAAGUGGGUUGGAGAUUCUAUUAGCAAGGAGGAUGCUCGGAGCUAUAGCUGCCCAGCCCGAACGGCAAGAAUACUGCACAGCUUGGACUGCCAGACUGGCCCACUCCAUAACCGGGCUAGGACCAACUCGAACGAGGUCAUCCCGAAUCGGCCCG
rnacentral:lncRNA from 1 species